rnacentral:rRNA from 1 species
UACGUAGGCAGCAAGCGUUGUUCGGAGUUACUGGGCGUAAAGAGUGCGUAGGUGGUGCCCUAAGUCUGUUGUUAAAUCUCCCGGCUUAACUGGGAGGGUGCGGUGGAAACUGGGGUGCUUGAGUGUGGGAGAGGUAAGCGGAAUUCCUGGUGUAGCGGUGAAAUGCGUAGAUAUCAGGAGGAACACCGGUGGUGUAGACGGCUUACUGGACCACGACUGACACUGAGGCACGAAAGCGUGGGUAGCAAACAGG